GACGAACGCUGGCGGCGUGCUUAACACAUGCAAGUCGAGCGGUAAGGCUCCUUCGGGAGUACACGAGCGGCGAACGGGUGAGUAACACGUGAGUAAUCUGCCCUUCACUUCGGGAUAACCACCGGAAACGGUGGCUAAUACCGAAUACGACCAGUCUUCGCAUGAGGUGCUGGUGGAAAGUCUUUUCGGUGAAGGAUGUGCUCGCGGCCUAUCAGCUUGUUGGUGGGGUAAUGGCCUACCAAGGCUUCGACGGGUAGCCGGCCUGAGAGGGUGACCGGCCACACUGGGACUGAGACACGGCCCAGACUCCUCCGUGAGGCAGCUGUGGGGAAUAUUGGACAAUGGGCGAAAGCCUGAUCCAGCAACGCCGCGUGAGGGAUGACGGCCUUCGGGUUGUAUACCUCUUUCAGUACCGACGAAGCGCCCUGUCGGGUGGUGACGGUAGGUACAGAAGAAGGACCGGCCAACUACGUG
rnacentral:rRNA from 1 species